rnacentral:tRNA from 1 species
GCCGAGGUAGCUCAGUUGGUAGAGCAGCGGACUGAAAAUCCGCGUGUCGGCGGUUCGAUUCCGCCCCUUGGCACCA